AGUGAACGCUAGCGAUAGGCUUAACACGUGCAAGUCGAGGGGCAGCACAUGAGUGGCAACACGAUGGUGGCGACCGGCGCACGGGUGAGUAACACGUAUGCAACCUGCCCAUAACUGGGGGAUAACCCGUCGAAAGGCGGACUAAUACCGCAUGACAACGAUGAUCCGCAUGGUGAUUCGUUUAAGGAUUUAUCGGUUAUGGAUGGCAUGCGUUCCAUUAGGUAGUUGGCAGGGUAACGGCCUACCAAGCCUACGAUGGAUAGGGGUUCUGAGAGGAAGGUCCCCCACACUGGUACUGAGACACGGACCAGACUCCUACGGGAGGCAGCAGUGAGGAAUAUUGGUCAAUGGGCGAGAGCCUGAACCAGCCAAAUCGCGUGAAGGAUGAAGGUAUUAUGUAUUGUAAACUUCUUUUGUCGGGGAAUAAAGUGCGGGACGUGUCCCGUUUUGUAUGUACCCGAAGAAUAAGGAUCGGCUAACUCCGUGCCAGCCGCCGCGGUAACAC
rnacentral:rRNA from 1 species